rnacentral:rRNA from 1 species
AUACCAUGCAGUCGAGGGGUAACAUAAAGUGCUUGCACUUUGAUGACGACCGGCGCACGGGUGAGUAACGCGUAUACAUCUGCCUCAUACUAGGGGAUAGCCCAGAGAAAUUUGGAUUAAUACCCUAUAGUAUCAUUUAGAGUCAUCUCUUUAUGAUUAAAGGUUACGGUAUGAGAUGAGUAUGCGUUCUAUUAGUUAGUAGGUGAGGUAACGGCUCACCUAGACCACGAUAGAUAGGGGCCCUGAGAGGGGGAUCCCCCACACUGGUACUGAGACACGGACCAGACUCCUACGGGAGGCAGCAGUGAGGAAUAUUAGACAAUGGGCGAAAGCCUGAUCUAGCCAUGCCGCGUGCAGGAUGACGGCCCUAUGGGUUGUAAACUGCUUUUAUACAGGAAGAAAAAACUCUACGUGUAGAGCCUUGACGGUACUGUAAGAAUAAGGAUCGGCUAACUCCGUGCCAGCCGCCGGGG